rnacentral:misc_RNA from 1 species
UUUCAAUAAUAAAAAUUGCGUUCAUGACAGUUAUUUAAUUUGUUACAGAUGGCGACGAACAUAAUCCAAACAAGACAAUGGGUUUGCAAAGUUACUACAGAACGUGACUUGCAACUUGAUAAAGCGGUUGUCUUAACUACUUGGAACCCACAAGACCUGUUAAAAACAGAAGUUGAAUCUCGAGAGAACCUUGCUGGUGACAACUUGGACGGAUUUUUCUCCUGUUUAUCUGGGAACAGAGACUCCAGUUCUUCAGUAAGUAUCCAGCAGCUCAAGUAAUGAUUCUGAGAGACCGGGAUCAACACUCGUUAGAAGAGACAAACGAACCAGAGAGUUUAAACGUCUUUGGGACCGGGACACACUAUUCAGCCUGCAGUCAGUCAAAAACCCAAUCAGCCAUCGCGAUGUUUAUCACGUGGUCACGGAUACUCACAGCGCCCUCAGCAGUCUAAUCAGAAAAUAUGACAGAAUACUAGAAAUAAACGAGGUGGAUGUGAAACAAAUGAGCGAGGAAGAAAUGGACAGAGUACUUGAACGAGUCGCAAAUUUCUCAGUGGUGAAGCUGAAAACCUGGAGAUGGGAACAGUGUGAGGGCGGACAUAAAAUCGAAGAAAGACACGUGGUGAUCCGGAAUACUUCACCUGGUCACCCUGUGCCACAGAUUUUGCGGGAGUUUUCAAUGUUAUCUUUGAGUGACAGAUUUUCGAGGGAAGUGAAAAAUUUUAAAUGGAAGUCGGACGACUUCAUUCCAUAUCAUAUCCACAUUGCAAGUGCAACUGGAAUGUAUGUGUUUGCCGACACUGUGGACAUGACUUUGAAAGGAAAACCAAUGACAGAGUCCCACAAAAGCAACGAUCAAUUUCGUUUCCUUGUGCGGUUUUUCAACUGCAUGGUAACGGAUGAUGAUCACGUGACCAAUAUUCGAUAUGGUUUCGUGGCCCAGUUUGGCAGAUACGAUGUGAUUGGCGAUUCCGAUGUUCUUUUGAGGGAACAUACUGAUUACAACACAGAGAACUUGGACGAGCGGUUUAUAUUGAAGUUACUGGGUUCAAAUGAAGACAAUAUGUUCGAAUCCCUCCUGUACAAAAACGUGUUUAUGAAAUUUAACAAUGAGACUGGGAUGUUGACCAUGAAUUACAGUAAAAGACAAGGACCAACCUACCUGUUUCAGACAUUUCGAACACGAGGACCACAGUCAACCGUAUCAGAUACAAAUGGCGGCGAUCUAUUCGUGUUUGAGCGGAUAAUAGAAAAUUAAAAUAAAAAAUCCAACAACAAUUAAACAUUAAAAAGUCUUUAUCAACCGGAGAAUGAUGCAUUUUACAUUUUACAAGAGAAGAUAAAGAACUGAUGGUACUUAUGUGAAAUCACGUCAUGUACAUAGACACUACCGAACAUUAUGUAUGAACAUAAUUGCAUAAACAUGUAUAAACAUGAGUACAGUU